rnacentral:rRNA from 1 species
GACAGAGGGGGCAAGCGUUGCUCGGAAUCACUGGGCGUAAAGGGCGCGUAGGCGGGAUGGCAAGUCGGUCGUGAAAUCCUUCGGCUCAACCGAAGAACGUCGGCCGAUACUGCCGUUCUUGAGGGAUGCAGAGGAGACUGGAAUUCCCGGUGUAGAGGUGAAAUUCGUAGAUAUCGGGAGGAACACCGGUGGCGAAGGCGGCGACCUGGGUAGAUACUGACGCUGAGGUGCGAAAGCGUGGGGAGCAAACAGG